UGCAAACCCGGGCAGGUGGAGGUCGUUAGCGAAAGCAAUUCAUCUAGGAGAGCAAACUCCGAUUACAAACCCGGGCAGGUGGAGGUCGUUAGCGUAAGCAGUUCACCUAGGAGAGCAAACUCCGAUUACAAACCCGGGCAGGUGGAGGUCGUUAGCGUAAGCAGUUCACCUAGGAGAGCAAACUCCGAUUACAAACCCGGGCAGGUGGAGGUCGUUAGCGAAAGCAGUUCACCUAGGAGAGCAAACUCCGAUUACAAACCCGGGCAGGUGAGGUUCGUUAGCCGUGGUAGGCAAUUCACCUAGGAGAGCAAACUCCGAACAAUAAACCCGGGCAGGUUGGGCUCGUGAGCCGUCAUAGGUAAUACACCUAGGAGAGCAAACUCCGAACAAUAAACCCGGGCAGGUUGGGCUCGUGAGCCGUCAUAGGUAAUACACCUAGGAGAGCAAACUCCGAACAAUAAACCCGGGCAGGUGGAGCUCGUCAGCCGUGGUAGGCAGUCUGCCUAGGAGAGCAAACUCCGAACAAUAAACCCGGGCAGGUGGAGCUCGUCAGCCGUGGUAGGCAGUCUGCCUAGGAGAGCAAACUCCGAACAAUAAACCCGGGCAGGUGGAGCUCGUCAGCCGUGGUAGGCAGUCUGCCUAGGAGAGCAAACUCCGAACAAUAAACCGGGGCUUGUGGUCCUCGUUAGAUGUCGUAGACAAUCCACGCAAUGGGAACACCAAAGAAAAGGAAAAUAAAAAGGAACACCAGAAAAAGGAAAAUAUAGUAACAAAACAUCAAGAAAAUAAAAUAAAAAACACAGAUCAUCCACCUUCAGGCCCUAACAUCUCCAAAAUUAUGGGUGAGUCUUUUCUGGGGAGAAAGAGGCUCAUCCAGACCAAAGAACAUCAAAAAGGGAUGAUAUAGAAAGGAACACCAAAAAAAUGGGAAAAAGAGAAAAAAACAUCGCAAAAGAAAAGUAACAACAAUAACAGAACAACGUCAAGAAAAGUAACAUACAAAGAAACAUCAUCCACCAUUCGGCCCCAAACUAACAUCACCAAAAUUAUGGGUGGGUCUUUUCUGGGGAGAAAGAGGCUCAUCCAGACCAAAGAACAUCAAAGAGGGAUGAUAUAGAAAAGAACACCAAAAAAUAGGGGAAAAAAGAGCAAAAAAACAUCGCAAAAGAAAAGUAACAACAAUAACAGAACAACAUCAAGAAAAGUAACAUACAAAGAAACAUCAUCCACCAUUCGG